GCCUACAGCUAUAGCAUGCUGAGUAUAUCUGAUCUCCUAUGAUCUUGGAAGCCAAGCAGGAUUGGGCUUAGUUAGAACUCAGAAAAUAAAGCCU
ensembl:rRNA 5S_rRNA 5S ribosomal RNA